UAACACUUGCUGGAGAAGCAGGGCACGUGCGAACUAAUGAGAGAUCUGUACAUGUUGAUCAUAUUUUUGCACGUGUUCUACUACUCCAACACGUGUGU
rnacentral:pre_miRNA from 3 species